UACGGGGGGGGGCAAGCGUUGUUCGGAAUUACUGGGCGUAAAGGGCGCGUAGGCGGCCUGCUAAGUCGGAUGUGAAAUCCCUCGGCUCAACCGAGGAACUGCAUCCGAUACUGGCGGGCUUGAAUCCGGGAGAGGGAUGUGGAAUUCCAGGUGUAGCGGUGAAAUGCGUAGAUAUCUGGAGGAACACCGGUGGCGAAGGCGGCAUCCUGGACCGGUAUUGACGCUGAGGCGCGAAAGCUAGGGGAGCAAACGGG
rnacentral:rRNA from 1 species